GACGAAUGCUGGCUGCGUGCUUAACACAUGCAAGUCGAACGGUGAAAGGGAGCUUGCUCCCUGGAUCAGUGGCGAACGGGUGAGUAACACGUGGGCAACCUGCCCCUCACUCUGGGAUAACUCCGGGAAACCGGGGCUAAUACCGGAUACGACCUGGUGCGACAUCGCACCGGGUGGAAAGAACUUCGGUGAGGGAUGGGCCCGCGGCCUAUCAGCUUGUUGGUGGGGUAACGGCCCACCAAGGCGACGACGGGUAGCCGGCCUGAGAGGGCGACCGGCCACACUGGGACUGAGACACGGCCCAGACUCCUACGGGAGGCAGCAGUGGGGAAUAUUGGACAAUGGGCGCAAGCCUGAUCCAGCCAUGCCGCGUGAGUGAUGAAGGCCUUCGGGUUGUAAAGCUCUUUCGCACACGACGAUGAUGACGGUAGUGUGAGAAGAAGCCCCGGCUAACUUCGUGCCAGCCGCCGCUGUAACAC
rnacentral:rRNA from 1 species